rnacentral:rRNA from 1 species
GAUGAACGCUAGCGGGAGGCUUAAUACAUGCAAGUCGAACGGUAACAGCGGAGCUUGCUCUGGCUGACGAGUGGCGCACGGGUGAGUAACGCGUACACAAUCUACCCAUUACAGGAGGAUAGCCUUGGGAAACUGAGAAUAAUACUCCAUAGUUUUUUCUGAUCGCAUGAUUGGAUUAAUAAAGUUCCGGCGGUAAUGGAUGAGUGUGCGUACUAUUAGAUAGUUGGUGAGGUAACGGCUCACCAAGUCAACGAUAGUUAGGGGGCGUGAGAGCGUGAUCCCCCACACGGGUACUGAGACACGGACCCGACUCCUACGGGAGGCAGCAGUAAGGAAUAUUGGACAAUGGGCGCAAGCCUGAUCCAGCCAUCCCGCGUGCAGGAUGACGGCCCUAUGGGUUGUAAACUGCUUUUAUAUAGGACGAAACGCCUUCAUUUAUGAGGGCCUGACGGUACUAUACGAAUAAGCACCGGCUAAUUCCG